AGCAGCCACGGUAAUUCCAGCUCCAAUAGCGUAUAUUAAAGUUGUUGCAGUUAAAAGCUCGUAGUUGAAUUUCGGAAUUAAUUAAUUGGUCGUGCCUAUGGUACGUACUGAUUUUAUUGGUUUCUCCCUUCUGACGAACCAUGAUGUCAUUAAUUUGGUGUCGUGGAGAAUCAGGACUGUUACUUUGAAAAAAUUAGAGUGUUUAAAGCAAGCUAACGCUUGAAUACAUUAGCAUAGAAUAAUGAAAUAGGACGUUUGAUCCUAUUUUGUUGGUUUCUAGGAUCAACGUAAUGAUUAAUAGGGAUAGUUGGGGGCAUUAGUAUUCAAUUGUCAAAGGUGAAAUUCUUGGAUUUAUUGAAGACUAACUACUGCAAAAGCAUUUGUUAAGGAUGUUUUUAUUAAUCAAGAAUGAAAGUUAGGGAAUCGAAGACGAUCAGAUACCGUCGUAGUCUUAACCAUAAAUUAUGCCGACUAGGGAUCAGAUGAUGUUAAUUUUUUUAAUGACUCAUUCGGCGCCUUA
rnacentral:misc_RNA from 1 species